UACGGAGGGUGCAAGCGUUGUUCGGAAUUACUGGGCGUAAAGCGCGCGUAGGCGGCUCUUUAAGUCUCACUGUGAAAGACCGGGGCUCAACCCCGUGCGAGCAGGGGAUACUGGAGGGCUGGAGACCGGUAGAGGCCAGCGGAAUUUCGGGUGUAGCGGUGGAAUGCGUAGAGAUCCGAAAGAACACCGGAGGCGAAGGCGGCUAGCUGGGCCGAGUCUGACGCUGAGGUGCGAAAGCGUGGGGAGCGAACAGG
rnacentral:rRNA from 1 species